rnacentral:rRNA from 1 species
ACCCGCUGAACUUAAGCAUAUCAAUAAGCGGAGGAAAAGAAACCAACAGGGAUUGCCCUAGUAACGGCGAGUGAAGCGGCAACAGCUCAAAUUUGAAAUCUGGCUCUUUUAGAGUCCGAGUUGUAAUUUGCAGAGGGCGCUUUGGCUUUGGCAGCGGUCCAAGUUCCUUGGAACAGGACGUCACAGAGGGUGAGAAUCCCGUACGUGGUCGCUGGCUAUUGCCGUGUAAAGCCCCUUCGACGAGUCGAGUUGUUUGGGAAUGCAGCUCUAAAUGGGAGGUACAUUUCUUCUAAAGCUAAAUAUUGGCCAGAGACCGAUAGCGCACAAGUAGAGUGAUCGAAAGAUGAAAAGCACUUUGGAAAGAGAGUCAAACAGCACGUGAAAUUGUUGAAAGGGAAGCGCUUGCAGCCAGACUUGCUUACAGUUGCUCAUCCGGGCUUUUGCCCGGUGCACUCUUCUGUAGGCAGGCCAGCAUCAGUUUGGGCGGUAGGAUAAAGGUCUCUGUCACGUACCUCUCUUCGGGGAGGCCUUAUAGGGGAGACGACAUACUACCAGCCUGGAUUGAGGUCCGCGCAUCUGCUAGGAUGCUGGCGUAAUGGCUGU